rnacentral:rRNA from 1 species
AGAGUUUGAUCCUGGCUCAGAUUGAACGCUGGCGGCAGGCCUAACACAUGCAAGUCGAGCGGUAGCACAGAGAGCUUGCUCUCGGGUGACGAGCGGCGGACGGGUGAGUAAUGUCUGGGAAACUGCCUGAUGGAGGGGGAUAACUACUGGAAACGGUAGCUAAUACCGCAUAACGUCGCAAGACCAAAGUGGGGGACCUUCGGGCCUCAUGCCAUCAGAUGUGCCCAGAUGGGAUUAGCUAGUAGGUGGGGUAACGGCUCACCUAGGCGACGAUCCCUAGCUGGUCUGAGAGGAUGACCAGCCACACUGGAACUGAGACACGGUCCAGACUCCUACGGGAGGCAGCAGUGGGGAAUAUUGCACAAUGGGCGCAAGCCUGAUGCAGCCAUGCCGCGUGUAUGAAGAAGGCCUUCGGGUUGUAAAGUACUUUCAGCGGGGAGGAAGGCGAUAAGGUUAAUAACCUUGUCGAUUGACGUUACCCGCAGAAGAAGCACCGGCUAACUCCGUGCCAGCAGCCGCGGUAAUACGGAGGGUGCAAGCGUUAAUCGGAAUUACUGGGCGUAAAGCGCACGCAGGCGGUCUGUCAAGUCGGAUGUGAAAUCCCCGGGCUCAACCUGGGAACUGCAUUCGAAACUGGCAGGCUAGAGUCUUGUAGAGGGGGGUAGAAUUCCAGGUGUAGCGGUGAAAUGCGUAGAGAUCUGGAGGAAUACCGGUGGCGAAGGCGGCCCCCUGGACAAAGACUGACGCUCAGGUGCGAAAGCGUGGGGAGCAAACAGGAUUAGAUACCCUGGUAGUCCACGCCGUAAACGAUGUCGAUUUGGAGGUUGUGCCCUUGAGGCGUGGCUUCCGGAGCUAACGCGUUAAAUCGACCGCCUGGGGAGUACGGCCGCAAGGUUAAAACUCAAAUGAAUUGACGGGGGCCCGCACAAGCGGUGGAGCAUGUGGUUUAAUUCGAUGCAACGCGAAGAACCUUACCUGGUCUUGACAUCCACAGAACUUAGCAGAGAUGCUUUGGUGCCUUCGGGAACUGUGAGACAGGUGCUGCAUGGCUGUCGUCAGCUCGUGUUGUGAAAUGUUGGGUUAAGUCCCGCAACGAGCGCAACCCUUAUCCUUUGUUGCCAGCGGUUCGGCCGGGAACUCAAAGGAGACUGCCAGUGAUAAACUGGAGGAAGGUGGGGAUGACGUCAAGUCAUCAUGGCCCUUACGACCAGGGCUACACACGUGCUACAAUGGCGCAUACAAAGAGAAGCGACCUCGCGAGAGCAAGCGGACCUCAUAAAGUGCGUCGUAGUCCGGAUUGGAGUCUGCAACUCGACUCCAUGAAGUCGGAAUCGCUAGUAAUCGUAGAUCAGAAUGCUACGGUGAAUACGUUCCCGGGCCUUGUACACACCGCCCGUCACACCAUGGGAGUGGGUUGCAAAAGAAGUAGGUAGCUUAACCUUCGGGAGGGCGCUUACCACUUUGUGAUUCAUGACUGGGGUGAAGUCGUAACAA